CUACAUUAGACCUGUACAGUCUCUGAGGGACAGAACAUGGACGUCACUAAACAUGGCCUCCUGAGCCUUUUAGUCCUUCUGCUCUGGAGAAAAGGUCUGAUUGCUGGGGAUGAUGUCACCCAGACGGAAAUACUGUGGAAAGAUGAGCGAGACAAUGCAACAAUGACCUGCAGCCACACUAAGGGCAGCGGCUACUACCAGAUGUACUGGUACAGACAGCGGCCUGGAGAAACAAUGAAACUAGUCGUGUUCACUAUUGCAAACACUAAACCUGUCUUUGAACCGGACUUCAGAGGGGAGAAGUUUUCAGCCACCAAGCCUAACGCUGAGAGUGGGACGCUCACAGUGAAGAAGCUGCAGCCAGAAGAUAAAGGCUUGUAUUUCUGUGCUGUGAGCAACACCUUUAAUAGUUCAGAGGCUUACUUUGGUGGAGGAACAAAGUUAACCGUUUUAGAAACGGGUUUUAAGGUCACCGCACCGACAGUCAGAGUGCUUCCACCUUCAACAAAGGAGUGUCAAAACCAGAAGGACGACCAGAAGAAGAAGACCAUUGUUUGUGUGGCCAGUGGAUUCUACCCUGAUCAUGUCGGUGUGUUCUGGAAGAUCGACGGGGAGAAUGUCGCCACCGGUGUGGCGACCGACAACGCUGCCCUCCGAGAAGGCAAGCAUUACACAAUCACCAGCAGGCUGAGGGUCACUGCCAAAGAAUGGUUCACAAAAGGCCUAGAGUUCACCUGCACCGUCAGCUUCUUCAACGGGACACAUACUGAACUUUAUGAAGGAUCAAUUCAUGGGGUAGAAGGUAAAGGAAAAACCCUGACAAGAGAGAAAUAUCUGAGGAUCACACAGAGCGCCAAACUCACCUACGGUGUUUUCAUCGUCAAGAGCAGCAUCUAUGGAGCCUUUGUGGCGUUUUUGGUGUGGAAGCUUCAGAGAUCAGCUGGGAAGCGGAACGACUGAGAGCUGAGGACAGAAAAUAAAGAAAAUCUAGGAGACUGUUUUGGUUUGGUUGUUAAUAAAGGUUGACAUUAAAUAUGUCCUUGUAUGUUGCGUUGCAUUACAUUUUCACAGAACAGUUCUGCGCAUAUUGUUGAUAAAACUGCCAUGCAAAUACUUUGGCAUCACAUUCUUAUAAAUACUUAUGAUAAUAAUUCUGUGUUUGUGUUCCUGAUUAGCUUGUUUGCUUAAUUAUCUUAUAAAUAAAAGUAUUUCAGAGGA